GCCAGCGCAGCACGACGGGUGGUGCACGCGUCUCGUAAGCGCGCGGAGGGAGUUCGAGCCUCCCCGCUGGCUC
rnacentral:tRNA from 1 species